rnacentral:rRNA from 1 species
CAUCGGAACGUGCCCUGUAGUGGGGGAUAACUAGUCGAAAGACUAGCUAAUACCGCAUACGACCUGAGGGUGAAAGUGGGGGACCGCAAGGCCUCAUGCUAUAGGAGCGGCCGAUGUCUGAUUAGCUAGUUGGUGGGGUAAAGGCCCACCAAGGCGACGAUCAGUAGCUGGUCUGAGAGGACGAUCAGCCACACUGGGACUGAGACACGGCCCAGACUCCUACGGGAGGCAGCAGUGGGGAAUUUUGGACAAUGGGGGCAACCCUGAUCCAGCAAUGCCGCGUGUGUGAAGAAGGCCUUCGGGUUGUAAAGCACUUUUGUCCGGAAAGAAAUCGCACUGGUUAAUACCUGGUGUGGAUGACGGUACCGGAAGAAUAAGGACCGGCUAACUACGUGCCAGCAGCCGCGGUAAUACGUAGGGUCCAAGCGUUAAUCGGAAUUACUGGGCGUAAAGCGUGCGCAGGCGGUUGUGCAAGACCGAUGUGAAAUCCCCGGGCUUAACCUGGGAAUUGCAUUGGUGACUGCACGGCUAGAGUGUGUCAGAAGGAGGUAGAAUUCCACGUGUAGCAGUGAAAUGCGUAGAGAUGUGGAGGAAUACCGAUGGCGAAGGCAGCCUCCUGGGAUAACACUGACGCUCAUGCACGAAAGCGUGGGAGCAAACAGGAUUAGAUACCCUGGUAGUCCACGCCCUAUACGAUGUCAACUAGUUGUUGGGG